AUAAUCAUAAACUUGACCCCUCUGUGGGAUCUCAUCAAUGCCCCCAAUGGGCGAUACAUCAUAAGUUGAGUUGGUUUACAUCUACAUCAUAAACAUCUAAGAUCAUGUAUUAAAAGGGAUAACAAUAUUCAUAGGGUCAAGCACAACUUCUAAUCCUCAAUAUUUAUAUACAUAACAUGACUAUUCAACUUUACAUCAUUAUACAAUUUAUCAUGUCCACUUUCUAUCUAUUACAAAGAUAAGACUUUACUCUUCUUGACUUCUCUGUCUAGCCCGUACCUGCAAUCCUGGGGGAUUAGGGAAAAGGGGUGAGCUACGAGAGACCAGUGAGCAGAAUAAUAGAAAACCACAUUUAAAAUCCCAUGCCAUCAUGUAAUGCAGCACAUCACAACAAAUCACAUCUCGGAUGGUAUUGUCACCAAUAGUCCUCUACAUUCCAAAGUGCCGGGACGUAGAAUGGGUACGACUGGUCUUUCUCUUAACAUAACAUAUCAUAAUAUACCAAUGUGCCAGGGACGUAGAAUGGGUACAACCUAGACUUUCUCUUACAUAGUGCUAGGGACAUAGAAUGGGUACAACCUGGACUUCCAUACUAUAUCAUGCCGUAACAUCAUCAUAUCAUAUGAGGGCUAAAGGGUCAUCCAAUAACCAAUCCACAUCAACAUCAUAAAUGCAAUGCAACAUAUUCGUGGAUUCUAAUGCAAACAACCUAUUUCAUCACAUGGCAUUCAUGAUGCAUGAACAUGCUCAAAACUUUUAUAAUUUAUUUGCUUUAAAUUGUAAAGGUUUAUUCUACUCACCUCUUGGCUAGCUCUGACAAUGACUGAAGCAGCUGACUCACUGCUGGGGUCCUCGGUUCCUCGGGUCCGAACC
rnacentral:lncRNA from 1 species